rnacentral:rRNA from 1 species
AUGCCCAACAUCUUUCAUUAUCACCACGCCAUCAAGUAAUGGAACAAACUUCUUGAAGCCACCUUUGUUAAUGAAAUCUUUUGCGCCCGCAAUAUUGUAUGUUAGAUCUAAGUCGCCAACUAUGAACUUCGUUGGUACCAUUAUCUCAGCUCCCGUCCAUGGCGAAGUUAA